CUCUCCUCCCUCUCUCUCUCCCUCCCGCGCGAUUCCGUGACCUCUCUCCCUUCCGAUCGAGACAGCGGCCACCACAGGCCGUCUCGAUCUCCGCCGUUGGUCCCAACAGCUCCGCCACUCACCCGCCGUUCUUCUCCGACCAAUAUCAGCCGCGGGGACGCCUGAAACUGGCCGGAAUCUGCCAUUGACGCCGGUUUCCAGUCGGAACUUCUCUCCUCUCGAUCUCCUUCGUUUCUCCACCAACUUGUUCGAGUAAGGCACCAGAAGUCCAGUCGACCUACAGGAGGGACCUUCAAGAGGUCCAGCUAGCUCGGACCAACUGCCGUAGAAGUAUGCAGGAUCCACCACCGGGCCGUUCUUAGCUUCCGCGCCACCAAUUAAGGUAGAGUUUUGUGGAAAAUCCUUAGAACCCUGAAAAACUCUAGAAAAUGCUCUGAUAUCUAUUUGAAACUGAAAAACUGGAGUUGAGAUCUGUUAUUUGAGAUAUUCUGGCAGUUGGUGUGGACUUAUUUGAUUGUUUAACAGGUGAAAAACUUUUGCUUUGGUCAAAAUUCAGGGGAGGCUCUGCCGAAUUUUCAGCAGAAGUCUAAGGGAAAGUGUAAAAAGAAUUUGAAAUGAGAGGGAUAAAAAGGUCUUUUGUGCCCGACAUUCGCCAGGUGUCGGACACGCACAGGACUUGGCUCAAAUUCCAAAGCGGAAAUUGGGUCGGGUCCUGUCAGUAAUCACUUUAGUAACGGGAUUAAAUUAUGGGCUAUCAACAAAACACUCCUAGAUAUUUGGUUUCAUUCUUAAUAUGGGCCACAAUGUUUCAAUUUCAUCUAUUUACAACUCAUGAUUUUCAAAUUUGACUAAUUUAAGUCUUUCGUUAAGUUGGCUGUUUGUUUAGAUGUUAAUUGAUAACGUGUCCAUUGUGGGACACUAAUUCGUCGGAGAGCCGGAAUUUGGAAGCAAAGUAGAAAUUUUGUUGAGACAUAUCAUAAUUUUUCGGGGUUCAAACUUUGUCUCAAAAGAACAAAAUUCGUCAGGAAAAGUCACAAUUUGUUAGAAGAACAAAAUUCGUUGGAAAAGGGCACGCUUUGUCGGCAAAGAAAUAUCUGGUUGGGGCAUAUCAAAAUUUGUGGGGAAAUAAUUGUCAAGAAGAACAAAAUACGUCGAGAAAGAUCAAUCUUUGUCGGCAAUGAACAAAAUUCGCCGAGACAGGUCAAAAUUUGUCGGGAAAGCCAGAUAACUGCUUGUUUUAAAGAUAAAGCUUAUAUGCCUGUAAAACAGAUGUAUGACCAAGCAGAUCUAGA